rnacentral:rRNA from 1 species
UACGGGGGGAGCAAGCGUUGUUCGGAUUUACUGGGCGUAAAGGGCGCGUAGGCGGCCAGCACAAGUCAGUUGUGAAAUCUCCGAGCUUAACUCGGAAAGGUCAACUGAUACUGUGCGGCUAGAGUGCAGAAGGGGCAACUGGAAUUCUUGGUGUAGCGGUGAAAUGCGUAGAUAUCAGGAGGAACACCGGUGGCGAAGGCGGUUCUCUGGGCAUUACCUGACGCUGAGGAGCGAAAGCGUGGGGAGCAAACAGG